AGAGUUUGAUCCUGGCUCAGAUUGAACGCUGGCGGCAUGCCUAACACAUGCAAGUCGAACGGUAACGCGAAGAGCUUGCUCUUUGGCGACGAGUGGCGGACGGGUGAGUAAUACUUAGGAAUCUACCCAGUAGCGGGGGACAACUCGGGGAAACUCGAGCUAAUACCGCAUACGCCCUAAGGGGGAAAGCGGGGGAUCUUCGGACCUCGCGCUAUUGGAUGAGCCUAAGUCGGAUUAGCUAGUUGGUGGGGUAAAGGCCUACCAAGGCGACGAUCCGUAGCUGGUCUGAGAGGACGAUCAGCCACACUGGGACUGAGACACGGCCCAGACUCCUACGGGAGGCAGCAGUGGGGAAUAUUGGACAAUGGGGGAAACCCUGAUCCAGCAAUGCCGCGUGUGUGAAGAAGGCCUGCGGGUUGUAAAGCACUUUCAGUAGAGAAGAAAUGCCUGGAGCUAACAUCUCCGGGUCUUGACGUAACCUACAGAAGAAGCACCGGCUAACUCCGUGCCAGCAGCCGCGGUAAUACGGAGGGUGCGAGCGUUAAUCGGAAUUACUGGGCGUAAAGCGCGCGUAGGCGGUUUGGUCAGUCGAUUGUGAAAGCCCUGGGCUUAACCUGGGAAUUGCAGUCGAUACUGCCUGACUAGAAUGUGGAAGAGGGAAGUGGAAUUUCCGGUGUAGCGGUGAAAUGCGUAGAUAUCGGAAGGAACACCAGUGGCGAAGGCGGCUUCCUGGUCCAACAUUGACGCUGAGGUGCGAAAGCGUGGGGAGCGAACAGGAUUAGAUACCCUG
rnacentral:rRNA from 1 species